AACGAACGCUGGCGGCAGGCCUAACACAUGCAAGUCGAGCCGGACCUUCGGGUCUCGCCGCGGACGGGUGAGUAUCGCGUGGGAAUGUGCCCUUCUCUACGGAAUAGCCCCGGGAAACUGAGAGUAAUACCGUAUACGCCCUUUGGGGGAAAGACUUAUCGGAGAAGGAUCAGCCCGCGUGGGAUUGGGUAGUUGGUGGGGUAAUGGCCUACCAAGCCGACGAGCCAUAGCGCGUUUGAGAGGAUGAUCAUCAACAUUGGGCCGGUGACACGGCCCAGACUCCUGCGGACGGCUGCAGGAGGUAAUCUUAGACAAUGGGGGAAGCCCUGAUCUAGCGCGGCGGCGUGAGGGAUGAAGGGCUUAGGGUUGUAAAGCUCUUUCAGCUGGGAAGCCUGUAACGGUACCAGCACAAGAAGCCCCGGCUAACUCCGUGUCAGCAGGCGCGGUAAAAC
rnacentral:rRNA from 1 species